GAGGGUAGAGCUCAAUGGUGGAGCACGUGCUUAGCAUGCACAAGGUCCUGGGUCCAAUCCCCCCGUACCUCCA
rnacentral:tRNA from 1 species